GAAGAAUAUACAGAAACUAGCCGUUGGCGCUCACAAAAUCAAAUGUUUAUAUUGUGGGUCACAACACAAAGCUGCCCUUUUUUCUUCAUUAAAGACAGACAAACAAAUCUCUUCUUCUUCAUCCUUAAAAAUACCCAUUCUCUUUCCUUCUCUCUCUAAAUACUCCUCCCUCUCUCUCUCUCUCUCUCUUUCUCUGAUUCUGUUUGAAAAGCUUGCCGCAUUGUUCUUAUCUUGAGAAUUCCGUGAGUAUUGAAUUUAUUUCCUUAAGAUCCACGCUUAAAUUGAAGGAAACGCUGUGUUUCAUGAUCAUUUUCUUUUAUGUAAAUUGGAUACUAUCAUUUUAGAAAUGGCAGGUUUUACCAAAUGUUUUGUCGCUCUGUUACUAACUUUCCUUUCUCUUUUUCUUUAGAAACUUUUGGUGCUGUUUUUUUUUUUUUAUAUAUUAGAGGCUAUUUUUCUUUCUUUUUCUUCUUAGAUUUUGUUGCGAUUGAAUUAAUCUCUUUAUUUUGAGACGAGUGUAUCGUUGCUUAAUCUGGAUCUGUUGUUACUGUUUAUCAAAAUUGUAAUUUAUUAUGACAAUAGACAACAAAGGAGGCUUUUCAUUUUCAAAAAAAUGGGUGGAAAAUCAGGAUGUAUAUAUUAAAGUAAAUCACUUGAUUUUGUAGUUUCCUUUUGUAACUUCAUUAACUGAUCUUUUGAGUACUGGCCCGGGUGCAGACGGCACAGAGAGACUUUACAAUUAAGAUUCUUGAUUAGAGAUUUAUAAUGAAAAUGUCAGGGAUCUGCUGAAUUCAGAAUCAGGUCGAAUUCUAGAUGACCCAGAGGCAUACGCAUUUCUUUCUUUCUUUCUUUUUUCUGAAAGAGUAGAUUUUCUGUUAGGUGUUAUCUCAACUGCUGGUUAUUUUGUGGUUCUCAUAUGAAGAAAGUAGCUGUGGUCGAGAAGUUGGUGGAAGAAAACACAACCAAUGAUCAACAUUUGAGCCAUCUUAUAAGUAUGCGUGCCUAGUGUAGAACUGUAUCUUUGUGUUGGUGUAGCUUCCUUUGCCGCUGCAAGCAUUAGAAUAACAAUUUAUUAACCUUUCUGAAAUCACCCAUGAUUAUCAAAAUUUCGAAGACCUUGCUAGAAGUGAAACAGCUUCACAGACAUGCAGAUGGGGCUCAGAGAAUAUCAUUAAGAUAUUAUAUGCAUUAAAUGGGAGCAUGGCUUGAUUUUACUUUACUAAGUUGCUGAAACUAUAAGAGGUGCCGAUAUUGGUAAAUUUGAUAUUAUUCAGGGUUGGGAAAUGAAGCGGUCAUGUACCCCUGCUGGGACUCCAACUUCCCAGCAAGUUUUGGAAAAUGAGAUUGAAAACAGAGCACCACAAAAUGAAGACUUCAUUUCACAUCCGGUGAGACCCAGCCAGAGUCUGAGAAAGAGAAUCCUACAAAAAGUGAAGAAUGUGGAGACGUUUCAUCACGGGAAGGAACUCCAGGCUAUUGUCGUUCUAGUUCAGUUAAUAUGAAGAAAAUGCAGCAGAGGAGAACGUGAGAAGCAUAAGAACUUAUGUGACAGAAUUGAAGGAACAUGUUGCCAAACUGCAAUACCACAAGCAGCUACUUGUUUGCUAUAUAGUAUUUGCAGUUCAUUUGGUAUCAGGAAAUUCAUUUUCAUAUUCUUCAUGCUGGAAGCAAAUGAAGCGGCAUUUGGCAUUCAAGUCCCGCUCCUCGUGCUGGAGAUGAGCUUACAAUUUCUCUAUCUUCAAGGUUUUUCUCUCUUUUUAGCCUACGAACAUUGCUUGGAGCUGUAAUGCUUAAACUAAUUUUCUCUUAUGUCUUGCUUAAACUAACUCGAGCAAUGAGACUGAUAAGAGAGUUUCUGGCAAAGAGGUUGACUUCACGUUUAAAUGCCGACGAGAGAGAGGCGCGUACAUGAAAUGAGGAAGCAGAGGAAACUGCAGUUUGUGAACAAAUCCACAUAUACACAUGAAAGUGCUGAGAUAGUGUGGCACUACCAACAGAUAAGAGACCCUGAAUUAUGGGUGGAACCCAAUUUCAAACCUUUCUGAAAUCACCCAUGAUUAUCAAAAUUUCGAAGACCUUGCUGGAAGUGAAACAGCUUCACAGACAUGCAGAUGGGGCUCAGAGAAUAUCAUUAAGAUAUUAUGUUUAUAGUUCAAGCUAGAUAUUAUAUGCAUUAAAUGGGAACCGAUAUUGGUAAAUUUGAUAUUAUUCAAUUUUAGUUUGAUGACUCUGAUAACUGUGAUAAGAAAGCUCAGGUCAGAUUUGAAUAUUAGCAUACUUUUUGAUUGUCAAGUUUUAUUUCAUACCUUGCUUUUGUCUCCAACUUUUACAUGUAGAAUAUAUCCUUCUUCAUAUCGAUACUUGCAUGUUGUAAUAAUGGAUUCUAGGAUAACACCUAAGUGCUACUGUCAGAACCAUCUAAGCAAGUUCAACAAGUACUUGUCCGAUUCCUGUAGACUACAUCUUGAAAUUCUUUUUCCUUGCAGGGUUGGGAAAAGAAGCGGUCAUAUACCCCUGCCGGGACUCCAACUUCCCAGCAAGUUUUGGAAAAUGAGAUUGAAAACAGAGCACCGGGAAAUGAAGACUUCAUUUCAUAUCCGGUGAGACCCAGCCAGAGUCUGAGAAAGAGACUCCUACAAAAAGUGAAGAAUGUGGAGACGUUUCAUCAAAGGAAGGAACUCUAUGCUAUUGUCGUUCUAGUUCAGUUAAUAUGAAGAAAAUGCAGCAGAGGAGAACGUGAGAAGCAUAAGAGCUUAUGUGACAGAAUUGAAGGAACAUGUUGCCAAACUGCAAUACCACAAGCAGCUACUUGUUUGCUAUAUAGUAUUUGCAGUUCAUUUGGUCCUCUACUACUAUAUUGGCCUGUUAUUUUCAUUUGAAUUUAUGUAGUAACUUAGUAUCAGGAAAUUCAUUUUCAUAUUCUUCAUGCUGGAAGCAAAUGAAGCGGCAUUUGGCAGUUCAAGUCCUGCUCCUCGUGUUGGAGAUGAGCUUACAAUUUCUCUAUCGUCAAGGUUUUUCUCUCUUUUUAGCCUAGGAACUGACACAUUGCUUGGAGCUGUAUUGCUUAAACUAAUUUUCUUUUAUGUCUUGCUUAAACUAACUCGAGCAAUGAGACGUGAAAGAGAGUUUCUGGCAAAGAGGUUGACUUCACGUUUAAAUGCCGACGAGAGAGAGGCGCGUACAUGAAAUGGGGAAGCAGAGGAAACUGCAGUUUGUGAACAAAUCCACAUAUACACAUUGAAAGUGCUAAGAUAGUCUGGCAAAGCUUGUAGGAUUCUGCGAGAUUCCAUUUGAGCUAAAGUUUGCACUACCAACAGAUAAGAGACCCUGAAUUAUGGGUGGAACCCAAUUUCAAACCUUCUACAUUUGUGAGCAUUACAUUUUUCAUUUGAAGAGGGUUUGGAUAUGGCAAUCAAGCAAGCAUUUCCUCUAUUGAUUGUUUGAUACCAGCAGGACAUUGUUGAAGAAGCCUUCAGGACCAUCUAUCCACGAGUAACAGGUUGUUUCUUUCCCAGUAUUAUCUCUAUUUCAAACUUAUAAUCUUUACUUUUCUUCUUUUUUAUAUUCUUUAAUGUGUUGAAAUUAUAUAAUUGUAUAGUAUAGGAUCUGAAUUGAAACAAAUAUAUGAGUAGUAAAUUUAAAAAACCUAACAAAAUUUAUUAAAGAAAGCAAGUGGAUUUUAACUAAAGAUAAUUAAAAUUUCUAUUACAAUGGUCAUAAUUGACAUGAUAUUGUUUGAGCCAUUUGAUAAAUAUUUGUAAUAGUAACGCUCUGAAAACACUUUAUUUUUGUGUCGGGUUAGCUUCCUUUGCACCGAAAGUAUUAAAUUAACAGUUUAUUAACUUAUUACUCGUAGUGCUCGCUUAGCUUUAGUAUUAUUUUUAUAUUGAAUGUUUCUUUCUUAAUUUGGUUUUAAUCUUUUUCAUUAUAUAAUUUGUUUGUUUAUUGCUUCUUAGUUAAUUUCCUUUACUAACUUAAAAUUUUUUUCAGAGUGACAGGUUCUACUUACCUGAUUUAGAUAUCAUAACUGAUCUUUUUUGGACUUUUAGGAUUAAUUUUAGUUAAUUAAUUAGUUAAAUUUCUUAUUUUUGAUAUUUUUAAGCCAUGAUUGUAAUUAAUUCCUCCCCUUAAUCGCCCCGAUCACCUUAAUCCUUUUCUGGAUUUUUCUUUUCUCCUCCCCCCCUUCUAUGUAUGUU